AUGUACGUGGAGCUUUACUUCUGAGGGAUAGGUUCGAAUCCUUUAGGAG
rnacentral:tRNA from 1 species